CGUGCAAUCAAUUGAAACUUUAACAGUGUGCUUAACUCAAAUACACAAUAACAUACUGGGUCUCAAACAACUGAUGUUGUGGCUGAGGCAGGUGCAAGCGAUCAGGGGAUUGUGAAGGUGAUUGAGGCUAUAGCGGAGGUGUGUGAGUUGAAAGUCGAAAAAAGGGGCGCGGCUGGAGCUGGGUUCGGAGCAGACAUGACAGCAAUAUACAGUAAUGGGUUAAUAAAACUAAGGGGACGAAACAAUUGAGGUAGAUCACUUCCGUUUUAAAACCGAAAGGUAAUCGCAGCUCGGAAUCGCUCAGAUUUCGUUGUAUCUGAAUUACUUCUUACAUGCGCCUGUUUUCCAAAGAACUUUUGUGAAAAUGCCAUCAACGCUGUCCACUAGCAAAGGCCUUAUGGUUGUCACAAAGAUCGUUCCAUUGGAGGAUCACUGUGACAUCCCCAUCACAAAUGUUGUCAAUUCAGAAUCUAAAAAGCCGACCACGCAGAAUGAAAAACUGCCUGAAAUGACCCGUCUCUUUCAAAAAGGCUAUCCCAUGCCACUUGGAAUUGUGCAGAUAUUCCUUGGAAUGAUGACUCUGGCCCUUGGUGUGCUUGUUAUCCUCUCAUCUGAAUUCUUUGGGGAGGUCCCGCUGGGUCUUGGAAUAUUUUUUAUGAUAUCAGGAUCAAUAUCUGCAGCAGCACAUGAAGGAAAGCGCAUUUGUCUGAUUAAAGGAACUUUGGCCAUGAACAUCAUCAGUUCUCUGGUUGCACUAGCUGGCAUUGGAUACUUUUGCAUGGAACUGGCCAAACAGCCUGAGGAAUGCAAAAGGGAAGAAUGGGAUCAGAAUUAUAGAUACUGGCAAUGCAUGGCAUCUGUCAAUCAAUACAAGGCCGUGGUCAAUGGAGUGAAAGGAUUACUGUUGGUCAUGGCGGUGUUCCAGUUCUGUGUUUCCACCACAAUCUCUGUCUUCUCUGCAAAAGCCAUCAGACAAGAUUCUGCUGAUCAACUGGGGGGUACCGUUCGUUUCGACAUCACUGGAACCGGUGCUGACGAAAGCAGUACUGUUCCUCUGCUACCUUAGGAGGAAGUCACCGCUCCUACAUCACCUUAAAGGAGGGGAGGGGGGCCAUCAGCACACCACACAGCACUUAUCGUGAUAUUUGUCAAUGAACUGAAAGUGAAGUAAAUUUCCUAUGCACAUAUGUGUACAUUUAAUAUGCACAUUGAUAGAGAAAUGUGAAACUCUGACUUUAAUCAAGUAUGUAUGGGUGUUAAUCAUAUGCCUUUGUGAGCUGAAACAUGACAUUUUUGUCUCUGUAUGUCUUUGAUUCUUAAGUGCUGACGUUUCAAACGCUGUAUGUGUGCUUAAAAGUGUUCCCUCUGUGUGUGCGUAAGCGAGGGCUGAGAACUACUAGUCCUUCUUUUUUGCCUUGCUGAUGCAUUACGUUGCAAAAAGCAUAGCAAGAUGACCUCGGAGGUGGCAAACCCACCAUGUGGUUAUCUCAGUUGACAUAAUGCUUUGGCGUCAGAGAAACACUAAUCUCAACCUAUAUAAACCUUGUGUGUUGUGUUUAAUUUAGCUUCUCUCUCGUCUGCUGCAGUCUGGGAGUGAGCCCGGGCUCUCUCUUUCGUCCUCCAAGAUGAGAGUGAGCCUGUGCUUUUCUCUUGUCUGCCAAGACCUGAGUGAGCCCGAUAUGAUAAAAAGAUACUUAUACAAGACUCUGGAGUCCGAGGUAAACUUGAGUGUGAAUUUUCACCUAACACACAUAUUCCUGUUAAACUUGUAAGCACACAUUCUAAACUUUGCCUUUUUGUUAGUCUACCAUUAGAGCAUUGUGUAUUUUGUUAAGGUAGCUGAUGUAUUUUACUAAUUAUACUAAUAAAUAGUGCCUUUUUCUGAUCA
ensembl:lncRNA